UACGUAGGGGGCAAGCGUUGUCCGGAUUCAUUGGGCGUAAAGAGCGCGCAGGCGGUCGUUCAAGUCGCGUGUGAAAGCCCCCGGCUCAACUGGGGAGGGUCACGCGAUACUGAUCGACUCGAAGGCAGGAGAGGGUAGUGGAAUUCCCGGUGUAGUGGUGAAAUGUGUAGAUAUCGGGAGGAACACCAAUGGCGAAGGCAGCUCGCUGGGACGGUACUGACGCUGAGGCGCGAAAGCGUGGGGAGCGAACAGG
rnacentral:rRNA from 1 species